ACAGAGGUCCCAAGCGUUGUUCGGAUUCACUGGGCGUAAAGGGUGCGUAGGUGGCCAGGUAAGUUCGGUGUGAAAGCUCGGAGCUUAACUCCGAAAUGGCAUUGAAUACUAUCUGGCUAGAGGGUCGGAGGGGAGACUGGAAUUCUCGGUGUAGCAGUGAAAUGCGUAGAUAUCGAGAGGAACACCUGCGGCGAAGGCGGGUAGCUGGGCCGACACUGACGCUGAGGCGCGAAAGCCAGGGGAGCGAACGGGA
rnacentral:rRNA from 1 species